rnacentral:rRNA from 1 species
UGUGUAGGCGGUUCUUUAAGUUUGCUGUGAAAUCUCCCGGCUUAACCGAGAGGGUGCGGUGAAUACUGAGGGACUAGAGUACGGGAGAGGAAAGUGGAAUUCCUGGUGUAGCGGUGAAAUGCGUAGAUAUCAGGAGGAACACCGGUGGUGUAGACGGCUUUCUGGACCGUAACUGACGCUGAAACACGAAAGCGUGGGUAGCAAACA